ensembl:misc_RNA Metazoa_SRP Metazoan signal recognition particle RNA
GCCGGGCGCGGUGGCGCACGCCUAUAGUCCCAGCUACUCGGGAGGCUGAGACAGGAGGAUCGCUUGAGUCCAGGAGUUCUGGGCUGUAGUGCGCUAUGCCGAUCGGGUGUCCGCACUAAGUUCGGCAUCAAUAUGGUGACCUCCCAGGAGCAGGGGACCACCAGGUUGCCUAAGGAGGGGUGAACCGGCCCAGGUCAGAAAGCUGGAGAUGCGACUUCUCUCCCAGCCACUGGGGAGCAGUGGAUAGGUAAGUUAUGGCCUUUAAUCCAUAGAGGAAUAUUGGUUUAU